GGGCUGCAAGUGCUGUGAGGAAAUGUAGUUCCUGAAUGAAACAGAAAUGCCGACUGUUGGGGGAGACCCGAGGACCGGCUUCAUUAGGGUAAUAUGUGCUCCGGAACUGCAGGAUUGUACAACGAAUGCGGCACAAAUAAAAUUAGGUUGAUAGGGAACAAUGCAUACAGCUUCAUAAAAAUAAUGUAGUAAUUCUGUUAAGAAUUCUUACCAAGAAACAUGGCGCAACACUCGUGCUAGUAUUGUAUGUAUUGUAUGUAGCAAUUUUAAUAAAGUAGCACCACUAUCACAGACAUGGACGCGCUGCAUAUUGGGAUAUUCUUUGAUUCUUCUAAAAUGUCGCAUCAAGCAUGUCAGCAACUGUGUUUAUUUUAUUGUACAAUUAUUUUUGUUAGAGGAGGCCAAAUAGCAAGCAGAAUAAAAUUGUGUUCUACUGCGCCAUCUGGUGUUCUGACUAAAGAAUAUCAUUCUCGUUCAACACACUGAUGUCAUCUCUGCUGUGCGUCUUUAUUAUUUUGAGGUGAUCCGUAAUAAAAACAAUUCUCAGAUAAAAAAAAAAAAAAAGUAAUACAAUCUGCGUUAUUCCGCAAUUAAAAUAAAAGGCUAAAAACCCGAAGCAAACUUGGAAAGGGCAUCGCAAACAGACAGCUGAAGUAUGGAAGAGGAGAAUUAAGAUGAGAAUCUGAAGCAGCAGCACUCAGAAACCAUUAUGAAAUUAAUGUGCUGGGAAAACGCAGAUCAUACGCAAGAAGAAGAAAAAAUACAAUUGCAUGUAUUUGACCAACAGAGACCAAAAAUUUCCUGAUUUGAUUUUAAUUGAUAACAUGGGUAAAUCAUAAUUUGCACCUGUCAGUUAAACUAAUUGUGUGUGUGCGCUACUUUUCUGUAUAUUCGAUUCCAGUACUGUUGGUGACAUCACAGCUGCAGCAUUAAAUACAGUGGCCUAAUAAAAACAAAUCUUAUCAGGGACACAUUUAAAGUAAUUGCAUAAUAAUGUGACCGAUUAAAUUGAAUUAUAAAUAAGGCAUUUUAAAAGGUUAGAUAGUAACGAGACAAACGCCACCUUGUUGGCCUGCCAUUUGAUUUAAACGAUACUGCUGCAACAAAGGUUCACAUGGGCUCACUGUUAAUAAACGAUGUUGCAAAGCUGCAGCACACGCGGUUUUAAAAGGGCAGGAUUUAAUUACCAAUUUCAUGGCAAGUUCUCCUUUAAAUCUAUCAGCAGAGUACAGGAUCACAAAUAUAACGGUUUUGAUCUCCAUGGCAGUGGAGAAACUGCGCAAGGAAAACGCCAGGAUCAAAAGGUUUGCGUUUGUUAAAAGGGUUUGCAUGAAACAAACAUUAGAAAUCUUUACUGAAAAUGGCUUAAUCAGUAGUACAAGACCAAUCAUCCUUUCUUGAACCCACUGCUUCUGGAAUGUCAGUCUGCUACAAGACAUCUGUUUCACAAACUGUACAGUCAGAAAGUGAUGGAAAAGAGGGCAUAAAUUUCAUCACUGCAGGACUUCUGCAAAAGUGUGCCCUCCAUUCUGCCCAGAAGUUUGUGAAUGAGCUGAAGCAUGGGCUGUACACCACAGAGUACAUGUGAAGGCACAGUGCAACUGGAGGGCGGUCAGCACAGUAUGGCAUGGAGGCAAACAUUAAAACAUGCAUUCCAAAGAAUGAAUUGCUUGCAAUCAUUUGUAAGUUGCAAUAGAACUGUUUGACAAUUUCAGUAUUUAAUGUUGUAUAGUGAGAUAACAGGAGUUUAACUAAGCAACAUGACUAACCAUUACAAGUGUUUAUAAACAGUUAAGUCAGCAGUUUUUAUUUUCUUUGCAUUUCAUUAACAUUUCUCUUUUUCAGUAGAUACAAAAAAAAUACAAUGUAUAUAUGUUAAAUUUAAUAAAAAGGGCGUUCUGUUUUAAUAUAUUGCCUCCUCUUUUUCAGCUAACAAUAGCGAAAAAUGGUUGUCAAAGUAAUGUUGUUAUAGUCUGUAUU